GGUGGGUUAGCUCAGUGGUUAGAGCUUAGAUCUCGUAACCUAAAAGUUACGGGAUCGAAUCCCGCUAGAGGCUG
rnacentral:tRNA from 1 species